rnacentral:lncRNA from 1 species
UUGCGUUUGUGCUACAAUCAGCCUCUCAUUUUGCUACAACCCACCCCCCGGCGUUGAAACAUUUGCUACAACCGGUGUUUUUUUUUUGUUGCAACCGGUAUAUAUUUUUGCUGCAACAGGCGAUUUGUUUUGCUACACCCGUUUCAUGUUUUUCUACAUUCAUUCAUGGCCGAGUUGAGUUCCGGGAUGACAUCGCCUUUUCUUGCUGCAACCGUUGUAGUUUUUGCUACACCCAUCGAGGAAUUUUGCUACAUCCCCUUUUUUCCUCGUGGAGCUGCAAGCUCGACGGCGGUGUUGAGGAUUUUUUCCUGCAACCGUUGUCUUCAUUUGCUACGACCGACACGGGAAAAUGCUACAACGGGCAUCUUUGUUUUUUGCUGGAACGAGUCAAUCAUUGAUGAGGCGGAGCUGCAUCCAUGACAAAAAAAAGCUACAACUCGCAUGAUUUUUUGCUGGAACCAGCUUUAGCAUCGGUUAGCCAGAAAACACUAGUAGAUUUCCUACCACGGGUCAGCUUGGGGAUCUCCGGCGAGUGCGGGCAGCCAGAACGGCGAGCACGGACGGCCGGGGCGACGAGCGCGGGGCGGCGCCAUGGCCGGUGCGACGAAGNNNNNNNNNNGUCGAGGAAUUUUGCUACAUCCCCUUUUUUCCUCGUGGAGCUGCAAGCUCGACGGCGGCGAUGAGGAUUUUUUCCUGCAACCAUUGUCUUCAUUUGCUACGACCAACAUGGGAAAAAUACUACAACGGGCAUCUCUGUUUUUUGCUGAACGAGUCAAUCAUUGAUGAGGCGGAGCUGCAUCCAUGACAAAAAAAGCUACAACUCGCAUGAUUUUUUGCUGGAACCAGCUUUAGCAUCGGUCAGCCAGAAAACACUAGUAGAUUUCCUACCACGGGUCAGCUCGGGGAUCUCCGGCGAGUGCGGGCAGCCAGAACGGCGAGCACGGACGGCCGGGGCGACGAGCGCGGGGCGGCGCCAUGGCCGGUGCGACGAAGCACGGGCGGCGCCCUUGCCGGGGCGACAAGUGAUGCGGCGGGCAGCCGGGGCGACGAGCGCGGGCGGCGCCAUGGCCGGGGCGACGAGCGCCACAGGCGGCGAGGGCGACGAGCACGGCCGGUGCCAAGGCGGCAAGCGUGGGCUUCGUGGUCGCGCAUCCAUGGCGGCCUUGACUGGCUCGCUCCUCUCUCUCUAUCAUCAUCAACCUCUCCUUCCGCCUUGCUGGAUCAAGAAGGAGNNNNNNNNNNNNNNNNNNNNNNNNNNNNNNNNNNNNNNNNNNNNNNNNNNNNNNNNNNGGGGCGACGAGCGAUGCAGCGGGCGGCCGGGGCGACGAGUGCAGGCGGCGCCAUGGCCGGGGCGACGAGCGCCACCGGCGACGAGGGCGACGAGCACGGGCGGUGCCAAGGCGGCAAGCGCGGGCUUCGUGGUCGCGCAUCCAUGGCGGCCUUGACUGGCUCGCUCCUCUCUCUGUUUGCUGGAGACGCUGAAGACGAGGAUAAGGUAAGGAAAAAAUAGAAUAAGAAGUUGCGAUCUGAUGGUCUCGUGCAGCCAGAUCGGGCGGCUGGGGCAGACCGGCCGAAACUUUCGGCCGCACCGGCGCCCAGUGCUGCCCCACCUUUAAAGGUGCCUGUGGAAUUAUACUCGUCGUGUAUGGUUGGUUUACCACCACUGCACGCUAGGUACUUACUUAGGUAGCCAGCUUGGGCUAUAUAUACGGUCGGUCCGAUACGUGCAAGGUGCAACAGCGCACCACAGAUCAGUCAGUGCAACGAACUCAUUUACGUACGAUCCUAGCUAGAGCUUGGACGAGGAUGUGCAACUGCGGUACGGUAGGACCUUCAGCUACGACCGGCAGCUGCACAUCCAUGCCCAAGCUCUACCUACUGUCGUCACUACUGUAGCUGCUCCACGCUCAGCGACCCCUGCGCCGCGCGUGUGCCCAUGGCGACGGAGGUGACCCUGCGCCGCUUCGACCUCUCGGACGUGGACGCCAUGAUGGCAUGGGCGUCCGACCCCGAGGUCGCCGCCUUCUGCCGCUGGGCGCCCUUCGCGUCCACGGAGACGGAAGCCCUGCUCGCCCACAUCCGGGACACCGCGCUCUCGCACCAGUGGUACCGCGCCAUCUGCCUCGCCGGCGACGCUCGCCCCGUCGGCUCGGUGUCCCUGGAGCCCACGGCUGACCCGUGCCGCGGGGAGCUCGGCUACGUGGUGGCCCGCGCGCACUGGGGCAGGGGCGUGGCCACCGCCGCCGUGAGGGCCGCGCUCGCCGCGGUGUUCGGCGAGGUGGAGGGGCUGGCGCGCGUGGAGGCGCUGGUGGACGUGGACAACGCGGCGUCGCAGCGCGUGGCGGAGAAGGCCGGGUUCCGCCGCGAGGGCGUCCUGCGGCGCCACUACUGGCACAAGGGCCGCGUCAGGGAUCUCGUCGUCUACGGCUUCGUCUCCGGCGACCCCUUGCCCCCAUCACAUGAGGAUGAGGUAUGUAAGCCACUCACUCGCCUUGGCCUCGUGCGUCCAGCGUCUCACUCUGUCCAACGAACUAGGCUCGGAGAUCGAUGGAGCGAGAAGCGGCAGCCCGGACGCCGGAGCGCGCGGACGAGGUGACCCUCCGGCCGUUCGACCUCGCCGACGCCAUGACGGCGUGGGCGGAACACCCCGUACUGGUACCGCCUACGGCCUCCAUGGCGUCGGGGGUCUACUUCUCCCCGCCCCGCGACGCCCUGCUCGCGUUCCUCCGGGGCACCGACCCUCCGCACACCUGGAUCCGCGCAGUCUGCCUCGGCGGCGCCAUCGUGGGCGCGGUGACCGUGUCGCGCACAGAGGACCGGUGCCGCGCGGAGGUCGGAACCGCGCUGGCGCGCGCGCACCGGGGCACGGGCGUGGCCGCGGCGGCCCUGAGGCGCGCGGCGACCGCGGCGUUGGGGGACCUGGAGGGCGUGGAGCGCGUGGAGGCGCUGGUGGACGCGGACGACGCCGCGUCCCGGCGCGCGGUGGAGGACGCCGGGUUCCGCCGCGAGGCCGUGCUGCGGAGCCACCGCGACGCCAAGGACGUGGUCGUCUACAGCCUCAUCUCCACAGACGACGACCCACUCAUCGGCUUACGCAGUUCAUGACGUCGUUGGCUUGUUGCCUUGCCAUGCGAUGCUAAUAAAAUUGACUCACGCAUCAUCAACACGAUCAAAUGUUACCAAGAAAAGAAACCGAAUUACAUUGCUGUGUUUCACUCUCAGCCGCGGAUUACAAGAAGGUGGUGCUGCUACUGUUCUGUCAGUCUCCAAGAGAUCGGAGCUUAUGUAUGAGAGAACACACGGGCUCGAUUAUUGAACUUUUUUGUUGAGUUGCGACUUCGACGGGAUCCCCAUGGAGACGGCGAGAGAGCACGGGCAUUGCAGGAUGCCGGCCGGCGAGCGAUCAGGCCUCCCAGCCGCGGAGGACGGUGGCGCGGGCGACGCGGUUGACGCCGAGGGUGAAGGCGCCCAUGCGGAGGUCGCAGUGGUGGGAGCGGCACAUCUCCUUGGUGUCCCGGAAGGCGCGGGUCAUGUACGUCUUGAGCUCCCGGUUCACCUUCUCCUCGUCCCACAUGAACCCCUGGAUGUUCUGCACCCACUCGAAGUAGCUCACCGUCACCCCGCCGGAGUUGGCCAGGAUGUCCGGCAGGAUCAGCACCCCCUUCUUCGCCAGAAUCUGCACCACGAACAUGUGCAUUUCUCCACUGUCAGUCAGUGUGUGAACUGAAUUAUGUCAACAAAUGCGAGCUUUGUUUUGUGGCAAAAUUUUGGGUGUUCUUGCCUCGUCGGCCUCGGGGUCUGUCGGGUGGUUCGCAGCCUCGAUGAUGUACUUUGCUUUGAUGGCAUCAGCAUUGUCCCUAGGAGAAGAAGAAAAUCAUGGUCAAGAACAGCCUUUUUGUUAACAAAAAUGUUUUCAGAUACUGAAAAAAAUAACAGCCAGGAGGAUACUAGUAUAACUGAACUUCGGAGGAGUAAUCUGAUAGAAGGUAGGAUGAAGUGAGCUGGGACGAGGAGAAAGGAGAAGAUUACUUGUUUAUGACUCCUCCCAGUGCUGCCGGGAUGAGGACGUCGCACUCUUCCGUGAGCAGCGAGGUUGGGUCGACGGCGUCUCCUCCGUCAAAGCCCUUGAUCCCGCGGUUCUCCGCCGAGUGCUUCAUCAGCUUGGCUAUGUCAAUGCCAUUGGAGUUCUUGACGGCCCCUGUGACAUCGCUGAUGGCGAUCACCUUGCCUCCAGCUUCAGUGAUCAGUUGAGCAGCCCAGGAGCCAACAUUACCAAACCCCUGAAAAAGGCAAGCGGCCAAUAAUUGCUUAUCUCUGCAAAAUGUAGGUGAAGAAACAUAGUUCUGAUCUUACUUUCUUUUUAGUAAGAAAAGUUCUGGUCUUACUCCCUUUUGUAACCAUAAAGUACAAAAGUGCGUAUUGUGCGAUCCACUGACGGCCACUUUUUAACUAGUACAUAUUUCUUAAAUCUAUGUUUGUAAUAAUAGAUUGAGGCUUCAUGACUCACACCACACUGAAUCCUCAGUUCAAUUACUUUUCAUCAUUUUAAAUUCAAAGAGCUUAACUCAUUAGCCUACACAUUAUUUAAUUACCUGGAUUACAAAACGCUGGCCUGCAAUGCCUUUGCCAUGCUCUGCAAGUAGGGCUUCAGUGGCAAACAGAACUCCCCUUCCAGUAGCUGCAUCUCUUCCCAGUGAUCCUCCAAGGUCCUGCGUUGAGCAAAAAAGUUCAGGAACAUGCGAAGAGGGAUAACUAGAAACCAGAUUUCUCUGGACAUUCAAAUCCUGGUGCUCCCACUUUUCAUCUGCAAACAACAUUUCCGUUGCACAUUACAUGAUAGAGUUUCAGGAUGAAUACUUACCACAGGCUUUCCUGUCACCACAGCAGGUGAGUAGCCAUGGAACUUUGAGUACUCAUCCAGUAUCCAUGCCAUUGUCUGAAAGCCAUGAAUGAAACAAGCAAAAGAAUCCACAUCAGAAUACAGAUGAAUAAUUCUCACAACACUCUGCAGAGAAAUAAUAAAUAUGCAAUGGACAAUAAAUACCUGUGCGUUGGUGCCCAUAUCGGGAGCUGGAACAUCGGUGUGGAUGCCAAUUAAGUCGUGAAUUUUCUGGGUGAAAACUCGGGUAAGCCGCUCGAGCUCCGAUAUGCUCAGGUCUCCAGGACUGCAUCCGAUGCCACCUUUAGCGCCUCCAUACGGAAUAUUGGCCACGGCUGUUUUCCAUGUCAUCAGUUGCGCCAAGGCAUUGACCUCGUCAGGAUCAACCUGAAUUUUUAUCAUAGCUUGUCAGUGCAAGAACUUACUACGAUCAUGGUUGCCAGUGUCUUGAACUUGCAUGCACAUGAUCGAAUUUUAUGGAAACCAAGUCAGAAUGUGAUCCAGUGUAGUAGCUUUAGUGAGAUGUGACUAAUUUCCAAAAUAGCUUUGUUCUGCUUUACUGCAAGUAGACAUUGCAAUUGCAUAGCUAGGUAUGGGCUGAACAAUAAGUCAUUCAACUAUCUGACAGGUUCCUGAAGGAGAUCGAAUUUAUGCUGAAGGACCAUUUCAAGUCGGCGACAGUGCGGCAAGAAUCAAGUGCUUAAUGGCUGGUUGUGUCAUGAUGAACAGAAGAACCCAGGAAUAUAUAUACUUAUGUGUGCUCAGUUGCUCACCUCAUGGUGGUAUCUGAUUCCACCCUUCAUAGGGCCCCUGGCAUUGUCAUGCUGCACCCUAAACCCAACAUAGGAUGCUAAUGUCCCAUCAUCUUUCGGAAUUGUGCACUCAACCUGCAACCACAAGCUUCAUUGUUAUACUGAAUAAUGGAACAAACAGUUCACCUCACAUAGACAGGACACAUGCUCAUAAAUUAGAAGGGUCCUGGACACAGUUUAACCUUACAGAGUAAGUGGCCAAGAGGCCAGUUCAACAACUUUUUUGCCAUAUUCAGCAGGAAAAACAGAAUAAAUUAACAUGGAUACGGGCUACGGCAAGCAAGAGAGUGUGAAAGAAAAUCAAGUGAAGUCUCUCGCAAAAAAAAAAAAAAUCAAGUGAAGUAGUAGGUUGGAAAAUGUCAAAUCCGAAGAUAAUCUGGUAGCCUAACCAGAAACUCAUAAAUUUACAGACCAGAUAAGAAAUAAUCGCAGGUCAACUACCAUAAGUCCCCAAGGACCAAGGUGAUACUACUUCUCAAUAACCACUGAACUCCAUAGAACAAAGAGCGUAAAUCGCUAUCCAGAUUCACUCAUUCACAGCAAAAUAUGUAUAAUCCGGGAUCAAGGAAUAAUCACCUUGAUCUCCCUGAAGGGGAUGAGCAGGCUCUUCUCGAGCUUGGAGUCGAGGCCCAGCAGCUUGGCCGCCUGCUUGAAGUUCCGGCUGGUGGCCGCCAAUGCGUUCAUCCUGCUCGACGAAAUUCCCCCUCCGGAGCCGCCGCGCCUGAAAAAGAGAUCGAGAACCCAACAUCAUCAGUAAAAUCCGAGAAACCAAAUCACACGAGACAAAAAGAUUAAACUCUGCGCGAGGAACCAGAGGAUAAUCUGCUUUUAUAUUACCGACGAGCAGAGUAGCGGCGAAGUGUUGUUAGUGGCGAGAGCAGGGGGGAGGCAGCGGCACAAAGACUAUGGAGGAGUUUCAGGUAGGCCGUAUGCAUAUGUAGGCACACUGAACCCCUCGGUGGAUUUGGGUUCCGUUCAAAAAGCAGAGGAGAUUUUUUUUUUCUUUUUAAUUUUAAUUUGUUUUUGUUUUUUUUGUCUCUACCAGGAUAAGAACAAGAUCUGGUUCUCGGCCUGCCUGCAAUUAAUUUCCCUGGAAACCCGAGCCCUGUCUGUAAUCAAUACCGUAAUUAACUAUUCCUAGCCUACUAGUACCAGAUUGAAGAGCGUCAAUCUAUGCCAUGGAAUCGACCAUCUACACUUUUAUUUAGUUUAGAGGUGCUAUCUAUACGUGCUAGUAGGAGCUUACUAACAUCUACAGUACAAAAAUAACACUGUUCUAGGGCCAACAUCUGAAUGAAGAUUCAGACUGCCGACAGCUGCGCUUGUUUUGCUGAGAAAAUGCCCAGAAUUUGAGCCGCAAGCCAGUGGAAGGGGUGUUCAAGGAAGCCUCUGCAUGUGGCAAUUUCAGAUUGCUCAAAUCGGUUGUAUGUAUGCACUGUACUGAGGUGUGCAUGUACGGGCUUGUACAGCUUGCGCCAGGCAAACUGCUGAUACGCUGACGGUGCUGAGCAUCCAUGCACGUGUAACAUGUGAUCCCUGACACUUCAUGCUUACAAUACAUGUCUGUCAAACAGUCAAGUAUUCCCUCCGUAAACUAAUAUAAGAGUAUUUAGAUCACUAUUUUAGUGAUCUAAACGCUCUUAUAUUAGUUUACAGAAGGAGUACGUACUAAAUAUAAGGCUUCUUAGAGAUUUUAUAAUAGGGACUAUAUACAGAUGUAUAUAGACAUGUUUUGGAGUGUAGAUUCACUCAUUUUACUCAGUAUGUAGUCUGUACCAAAAUCUCUAAAAAGCUUAUAUUUAGAAAUGGAGGGAGUAGUACUUAAUUACAGCUACAGUUAGAGCUCAACAACUUGGUCUAGCAGUUGAGUGAUACUACUACUGUAGAAAUCAGUUGUCUGUACUUUGGCCGCCUGUAAGAGAUGGAAAUUUCAGAAGCAACUUGGCGAAAAAGCACAUGGCUGACUCAGCUGCGAUGCUCCGUGGAAUUAUUUGGCUAACCAUGCAGUCUUGCACUGUUUUGCAUAGCGCAAUCUAAAUAAUUGGACACAAAGACACGUGUAUCCCAUGGGUCAGGGGGUUGUUGGCAAACUCGGAUUAAGGCUAGCUGAUGGUCUGCCUAGGAUGUGUGAAGCAUAUGCCAUAUGCCGUAUGUUAUUUAUUUAUUUGAUUGACAACACAUAUGCCAUAUUUUGUUUGUGUCAUAUGGUGACAAGAAAUAUAUCAUAUGUCAUGGACAGGGCUGGUAUGAUAAUUAAACGAACCUAUUAGUAUGGCUAAUGCCAACUUUGGCUCAAGAUAAGAGGGCAUAAGUUCCAGGAAGAUGCAUUCGCCGAAAAGUAGGGGCAGAUUGGGGGAGCAGGACAAUCCCAGAACGGGCAGCAAAAUCAUGUGGAGAAGAAGAAGAAGCAAUAGGGAUCGAAAAGUGGUUUAGCUGCUUUUAGAUGCAUGGAUUCCAGAUUAUGCAAGGCCUGCAUUAUUUGUCCUGUUUUAUGCUAUCUCUUUUUUAAUGCCCCAAAAUGAAUGACAAAACAAUCGCCCCACUAUCAGUGCAGAUAAUGAUAAUUAAGGUGAUGCUUUCAAAUCAGAGGAUGAUGAAGGCAAAUAUUCUCAAAUCAGAGGAUAAUGAAGGCAAAUAUUCUCAUAAUCAGAUCCCGGAUUAGGUAGCCGUAGAUGAACAAGCCCAAUCAAAGCUGCAUAAUACUAGUACUAGUACAGAGUUCAGAGCUUGGAUAAACCAUCAGUAACUCAUUGAUCUUUCUCUGGCCAUGUGAUCACUGCUAACACUAGCACACUACCAUGUAAAGGAAACACAAAGGGAGAGAGGGUAUUACUUUCUUGCAGCACCUGAUCAGGAUGAGUGAAUCCUAGCGGCUGAGGGGUUUCACCCGUGCUGCCCGCUCUGUUGUGGCAUUCAGGCAGAGGGUUACAAGGGGUUUUAUAGGGAGAAACCGGCUGGGAAUGAUACACGGAAUUAGUUCGGAGAUAUGGGGGAAUAAACGAGGAUCGUAUAUUUCUCCAAGGACUUUGGACGAUUCCAUGUGCUUGGGUUGAGUUGGCCGGGUUGCAUUGCAUCGAAUUCCAUUUCAUUGCUAUUCGAGGGCCAAAUGGGCAGAGGGUCCACGCCCCGAAUUCUCAGUCUAGUCAGAAUGGAGCUAUAGAGAUUAUGUUCGCAAACUGGUAACUAUGCUCGGUUGGUUAGGUAUCCUGUGCUAGAAUACACCCAUCUGGAUUUAAGUCAUAUACUUGCACUCUCAGACGAGUGCUCGUGUUUUUCUGAAUUUAUUCCACAAUUUUUUUCGCUAUUUUCUAGUGGAAGACGUCUUGCGCCUUGACUAUGAGGUGCCUAUGAUGAGAUUUACCGGUUUGGUCUCUUGGAGAAGAGUGCUCGUAUUUUCAUGAAUUUAUUUUGUAAUUUUCGGCGCUAUUCCUUAGUGGGAUACGUUGUGCACCUCGAGUACGAGGUGCCUAUGAUGAGAUUUGCCGACUCAGACAUGCUUGUAGGGUCAAAGUGUGUGCGCAUGCCUUUUUGGGAGUGCACUUGUGUGUGAGCAUUUGUAUUUCCAUAGAAAGACUGUGUGUGUGAAAGAGAGAGAGAAUAUGUAGUAAGUUCUUCGGAAAUAAGCGUAUUUCAGACGCACCUCAUCCACCUUGCCUUCACAAUAAUGCGUCAAGCGAUGAUUAUGACAAAUCUGGUCCAGAAGAUAUCCUCAGGGAGAGAGAGCAAAUCAUCAAAUGCAGAGCAACCGAAAGCUCCAUGUCAUGAAUUAUGACGAGAGACGCAUCCUCUUGCAUCACCGGUGGAAAACCGCGGAAUAUGGAACCAAUCGCAGGAUGCGCCGCGCAAAUUGGCGCAAUUGGAGUCCAGCGACAUGGCCACCGCCUCUUCCCAAUUGCUUUAGAAUUCUUUCCUCGUAGAUGGAUGGAUGGAUGACUUGUGUUUGUUUCGUGGACAAUGCAUAGAUUACUACUAGACCUUUACUGCCGUGUCAUGGAUGUAGCAUCAUGCUGCAUUAGGCCAAAAAAGCACGCCCAAAAGGGAGGUUCUCUCAGCAGAAAAGUGUAUGUGUUUCGUGUGUGGAGAUUCCAGCCUUUGUAUGCACCAACUUGUGAUGAGUCUUCAGUGUCACUCAUAAGUCUCCUUUCAGGGUUCAUGUUAUUUUUUCCAAGAAUAUUUUAAAAGCUUUGUUUUGGGGAGUGCUAACUGGGAAGGAAGCUAUCUAGGGAUUUCUGGAUUUCAAAGGAAUUUGAGAGAACAGUAAAAUUCCUUGUACAUGUUGCAAGAAAAGGAAUGAUGAUUUCUUUGGAAGAGGAGAAUUUCGGAGAUCGUUUCGUUUCCCGUAGGAAGAGGAAAUGUUCCCACGUGUCAACCGGGGAUUAAAUCGAGAUUCAAAUUAGUUUCAACAUCAUUAUAGAAAGAUAUUUUCAUAUUGGAGACUGAUACUUUUAAACUUUAAUAUAGCUGUGUGCAUCGUAAUGAUGCAGAGGCGGGGUGAUCCUUCUUUUUCUAAAGACAUUUCAGAGAAAGAAUAUUUAAAUGUUGGGUUUGUCUAGGACACAUCUAGAUGUGUCAUAGUUAUUGCACAUCUAAGUGACACAAUCAAGUAUGGAAAGAAAAAAGAAAAGAUAAAAAUAAAUACCCACACGAAUCUCCGUGUAAGAUCAAUGACGUAAGACUUAGAUGUGCAAUACUUAUGGUACAUCUAGAUGUGCUUUAGCAAAACUGUUAAAUGUUAUAUGGAUUUUUUUUUGAGAAAUAUCAUGUGGCUGUUUUUCCCUGUGCGAAUUACUGCAAAUUCCUCAUGUAACAUCUUUUGGGAUUAACUACUUUGUUUGCAGUUAUUUACAUAAAACUGCACCUGUUAUUCUUGUGCAGUUCAUUGAUUUUCAUUUUUCUGAGACCCAGAGAAGGCCUGAACUUCAUGCACAAUAGGUGGAUGGACUUGCGUGCUGGAGUCAAUGCCUACCAUUCGGUGUAAAGGGAAAAGGCAGACAGUCAUUUCCCAAUCUGAAUGUUGAUUAGGACUACCACUUACAAGAAAAUAAAUAAAUCCUGACCAUAGCACCGUUCUGUUAGAUCUAUUUUCGAGUCAUCGUGUUAGUGGUGCUAAUUUUAAUUUAAAACUUAAGACAGCCCACUUGAGCUACAGCAAAGAGGCCGAAAUGAUAGUCAAAGUUGAAGAAGAGAAUGUGACACCUCGAGUUUGCAAGAGCGCGUGACCUCUCGAGUACGCAAUAAGCACAAAGAUGAAGAUGUUAAGACAGUGGGUUGGUUUGAGUUAGGGCAUCUCCAACGCUAUUCGCUAAAGCCAACACACUAUUCAUCCGGGGUCCAUUCGUGGAUCACAUACGGAUGGAUCCACGGACAGGACACGGGAGCCGGUCAUUCAACUUUGUCCCUCAAAUAAGCAUCAGAUCCGAAUAGCAGAAUUGGGCCAAGCGGACCUGGACGACAAAGCACAUGGAUCGUGAUGACAUAUGGUCCAACUGACAGUGGGUCAAGCAGACCUCUACAUGCUGCCUGGACAACCGUAAAUCAAUUAUUUGUUUGCUGCCAUGAUACUAGAAUUCAGACAUCUAGAUUGGUUUGUGGACAUAUACGGGUCCCCAUUUGAUGACAAAAGUGAACAAAAUUGGUCCAGACACCAUAAUCUGGAUAUUUACGAGAGUUUUGAGGGCACAUGCUUUCGAGAUGCCCUUAGCCCUAAGGGUUCUCAAAAGAAUCGGGAAACCAAACACACUACGUUUCCUGACUGAUAUGCACACAACACUUGAAUCAAACGGGGUAGGAGUGUUGGCCAUUGUGUGGUGGCCGCAGCAUGCCGACUAUAAAUCCGCAGUAGUAUUUUCGCAUAGAUAGCAAGAUUAUAAAAUAAAGUAGAAUAGAAACAGACGCAAACGGAUCUUUGCUUCCGAACAAAACCCUGCCAUCAAAUAGGUUGUCCCAGGAGCACCAUAUUCUAGGAGCCCAAGUUAUGCCAAAUGUUGCGCUCAGGCAUUACUCAAUAGAGGUGCAAGGCAUGCCCAGACAACCACAAUAUGAACAAAUUGUUGUGAUUUAUGUUCAUCAUGGAGCGAACUAAUUGAAUUGUAAAUUCAAAACGUAUUUAGUCAAGUGUAAAAACGAUGCAGCCAGGCCAUGUUCCAGGAAUUAUCCACUAUCUUACGUUCUACAGGUUCUUCAGUCUGUAGGCUCCGGAAGUCAGCACUUUGUGGAUGGCAAAGGGAUCUUCCCAAGGGUGAUGAGAGCUUGUGCAUCCUCUCCUUCUGAAUCAGGCAGAGCACAAGGUCGCCGACCUAGUGCUCGUAUAUUUUACUGGUAGAUGGGAUGAGAGAUACAAAGAAACAACUGUGUGUUUCGCAAUACUUCUAGUUGGAUGAAUGCUACGGACCUAGUCACAAAGAUCUUUGAGGAGCUACAGUUGUGGACCCUAGCAGGAAGAAGAGGAGUCAACGUGUGGUGUGAGUAGUAGCGUGAGGUAGUAGGAGUAGGAGUAGAGUGUCAUUUUGCCUUAGCCGAUCUGUGGCUUUGAGGCCUCAAGUUCUUGUAAAUACUCUUUCCAUCUUCUAUAAAGGUACGGUACGUAUUUUGCAUACUCUAAAAAAAAGGCAUCCUUUUUAGAGAAUUUAAUCUGCUCUAAAACAGAGUAUACGCCUGUGACUGUGAGCCCAGUUGAGCUUUUGAGCUUUUUUUUACUGAAGGCUGAAAUCUUCAGGAGUACCAAGGGGCAUUAGAGAACGGAGGGCACCUAGAUUGAUCUGAAAGACUAGUUUGAAGCUGCCCAUUAGUCUCUUCUCACAAAACUGUUCAUGACAAUUCAAUGUGACAUAUCAACAGAGUCCAGGUCCAAGCAAUCAAUGUGUUUGUUUAGCAACCAAUACAUUGCAUCACCGGCCAAGAUCUUCUAUACACUACAAAAAGGUGCUACUACCAGGAAAAGAACAGUGCACCGAGACAAACCACAUAGUAGAUACUAAUCAUCCACAUACAUAUUAAUCACCAGCCAGGUCCAAUGGAAGUAAUCUGUGUCAGAUUCCAAGUAUUCUCAGCACCCUUCAAAGGAAGUAAGACAGGGAUAACUGUAUCUUUACUUGUGAUCUCAUCAUCCACAUACAUACUAAUCAGUUUGAGUUUCAAAAAAAGUAAAAUUUGUCAAACCUAUCAGAUUCAUAUAUCAAACAAGAAAGAACUGCCAUGGUCGCCAAGAAUUAGAUCUAUAAAACAGAAAGAAAAAAUAACAUAAAGGACACGUUUCCAGGAUAUAAGCUGGCACAAAGAACGCCACCAAUCAGGACAUACCACACGUAAGAGAAUAGCUGUAGCGUCCGAGACUAAUUACUGCGAGGAACACAAGUCAUCCUCAGGAAUUGGUAACGAACGCGCAUCAAACCAAGAAACAAACAGUAAGAAACAUACAGACUACUCCACAGAUAAAUCAUCAAUUUGGGGGAGCUCAGACAGCCAAGGGGUCGUCCGCAGAUGCCACUGAAGAGGAGGCAUCAGAAACUCUAGUCCACAAAUUUGUCAUCACCACUACAACAUCAUGGACCAUCAAAACUAAAAAUAAGAAACAAACCAAAUCGAGAUUCAUCAAGAAUCAAAAGAGCGNNNNNNNNNNNNNNNNNNNNNNNNNNNNNNNNNNNNNNNNNNNNNNNNNNNNNNNNNNNNNNNNNNNNNNNNNNNNNNNNNNNNNNNNNNNNNNNNNNNNNNNNNNNNNNNNNNNNNNNNNNNNNNNNNNNNNNNNNNNNNNNNNNNNNNNNNNNNNNNNNNNNNNNNNNNNNNNNNNNNNNNNNNNNNNNNNNNNNNNNNNNNNNNNNNNNNNNNNNNNNNNNNNNNNNNNNNNNNNNNNNNNNNNNNNNNNNNNNNNNNNNNNNNNNNNNNNNNNNNNNNNNNNNNNNNNNNNNNNNNNNNNNNNNNNNNNNNNNNNNNNNNNNNNNNNNNNNNNNNNNNNNNNNNNNNNNNNNNNNNNNNNNNNNNNNNNNNNNNNNNNNNNNNNNNNNNNNNNNNNNNNNNNNNNNNNNNNNNNNNUUGCUGUUUGGAAAAGAAAAAAAUGACAUCACAUUGCUGUUUGGAAUUUGUAGGCGGCAUUGGUGGGGAUUUAUAUAAAAAAAUUGAAGGUGGGGAUUUUUCUAGGGUUUUCCUCUUCUCUUUGCGGGUGCAGAUGGGGCAGGCCGACGCAUCCACCUGCGUGAGAGGCAGACAAGGCCACAAGUAGACGCACUUUAUUUCCUAUUUGCCACCUUUAGCGGCGCAUCCGUAGGGAGCUAUAUCUCGCUUAUAGUGAGAUUUUUUAGCAAAGGUAGCAGGCCUUAUUGAACAUCAAGAAUGUUACAGGUAUUAUGAGCGUAUCAUGCAGAUUGCCUAACCAAAUAUGCCUUCCCUGAUACCCAAAAAGAUGAGGAGAGUUCUGUUAAAAGCUAUGCAAUGAUUAACAGAGUUUCUGCUGCAACAUCUACGCCAGCGCCAAUGCUCUGAAUCUGAAAGUUCUGUUUAAUGAUCGCUUCAUCCACCAAAUGAAUGUAGGAGUAGGCAACAAAUUCAGAAGCAAAACCAAAACCUCAAGAAAGAAAAACAUAGCCUAGGGGAAGAUAUGCACAUUUCUUACAUUAAUAAAUGUGCCAGAAGACAGGUAACACGACGCAGUUUGGUAAUGCGUCGUGCUGUUUAAUGCUGGCCAGUGUUUCCGAUUAAUCUAUGCUUCCCUCUACAGGAUGACCAAACUGUUAACAGGAACAAACACAUAACAUUUUCCAUUGAAGCAUUGUUUUUGGGCAGGGAUAAGAUAUAACUAAGUAUUUCCUCAGUUCAGGUCUCCAAAUUGCUUCCACACCACGCCAUGAGGUAGCGCAUCAGAAGAACGAAAGUAUUUAGUUUGAUCAUCAUUGGACAGUUUUCAACAUCAGAAAACAUGAGAUAAACAACAAAAACCAUUAUUUGGGGCGGGAAGAAGAUAAAAUGAAGUACUUCCUCAGUUCAGGUCUGAAAAUUGCUUCCGCACUGUACCAUGAGAUAGCACAUCAGAAGAACGAAAGUAAUUGGUUUCAUCAUCAGACAGUUUUCAACAUCAGAAAACACAAGAUAGACAACAAAAAACCAUUGAUUUGGGGCAGGAAGAAUUUAAAUUUAAGUAUUUCCCCAAUUCAGGUCUCCAAAUUGCUUCCGCACCGCGUCAUGAGAUAGCGCAUCAGAAGAGCGAAAGUAUUUAGUUUGAUCAUCAUCAGACAGUUUUCAACAUCAGAAAAAAUCAGAUAAACAACAAAAACCAUUGUUUUGGGCCGGGAAGAAGAUAGAAUUAAGUGUUUCCUCAGUUCAUAUCUCCAAAUUGCUUCCACACUGUGCCAUGACAAUAAUAAGAAGUAACUUUCUGAGGGCACCCUCAGAACAUUUGCAUAAUUGUAUCACAGUAUUUUUCUUAGGAUAUUUGUCCAGCCAUCAGGAGGCAAAAACAGGAACAAAAUGGCAACUAGAAAACAAAUAAAUAACAAUAUGAGGUAUGUCAUUGCUUCUGAUCGCUCUAGGUGAUAAUAUAUAUCUCAUCAACACAUGAAUCAGACAACUAUAUUUUACGAACACAGGUGAGCACCACUCACCAGGAUCCAAGAACAACAAUCUGCGGUCCAGAAACAGACUAGGAAAGAAGAAUCAAACUGCAGUAUCCUCAGUUCAGGUCACCAACUCUUCCAUAUUCAAGAUUUUCGGAACAAGGAACGUACCAUUGUGAUUGAUGGUUGAGCUGUCAGACAAUGCUUUCUAGGCAAACGCACUCAAUCAAGCAGAAGUGAAGAAAGAGGAUAAAGGAAUAAUAGAAGAUCAAAUCAGUAUCCCUCAGGUAAUAUGCUUAUGUUUUUCAUCAACAGAGAAAACUCAGGUCUCAAAGAUGUGCCAUCACUGGACUUACAGAACUGAACCGAAUAGAAAAGGAUAAAUUAAAAUCAGGCAAUUUUGGAGAAUGUUAUUCGCUGGGGAAGCAACUAUCCCCAAAAGUCUAAAACCCAAAAUGGGGCGUGGCCAAGUGGUAAGGCAGCUGGUUUUGGUCCCGUUACUCGGAGGUUGGAAUCCUUCCAUCCCAGAUUGUUUCUGAUGAAACAAACAGUGAAAUCAUACUUGUAGCUAAGAGAACAAUGCUUUCAUCUGUUAAAACCUCAGAAAACUGCAUAAAUUUUCGCCACUUAAAAAUCUGACAGUAAUUCCAACAUGUAGCUAAUCAUCAUGGGCAUAACCCUGUACUUAUCCAGUUGGGCUUCUCUUGGCUGAAGGCUGAAAUCUUCACUUAACUAGGAGUACCGAGGGCAUUGGAGAACUGAAGGCAACUAGACUGAUCCGAAAGACUAGGUCAAAGCUGCUCAUCAGUCUCCUCUCACAAAACUGUUCGUGACAAUUCAAUGUGUUUGUUCAGCAAAAAAUGCAUUGCAUCACCGGCCAAAAUCUUCUACACAGGUACUACUAGAAAAAUAACAGUGCACAGAGAUUCAAAGUAUUCUCAGCAUAUGUACAUACUAGGAGUAAUCUGUGUCAGAUUCAAAGUAUUCUCAGCACCCUUUCGAGGAAGUAAGACAGGGAUAACUGCAUUUUUUACUUGUGAUUGAUGGCAGAUUGUAUGACGAGUCAGAAGUAGCUGGUUGAAGAUCUCAUGUUUAUUACAAAUCAAUGGGAAUCCGAAUGAUUUUCUUCUUCAUACUCGCAAUCCAAGCCAAAUCAUGCUGCACAAGAUGAUGGAAGUAAUCGUGUCAGAUUAAAAGUACCUAAAAUCUUAAAAGUGCACGCGCACUGUUUCGCGACACCGAGCGGCGGCGCUACGCGACAGCGGACAGCGACCUCACACGCUCAGUCCAUCUCUCCACUAAAAGAAAAAAGGAAAAUCUUCUCCACUCCCGAGCAGCACGACCUUCUUCCUCCACUAACCACCGCCGCUGUGCACCCCGCCUCCUCCGGUCCUCCCUCGCGCCGCCUCCUGACAACGCCAACUCGCCGUCGCGAUUGCCCAUCGCCACCCCAGCAGGCCUCGCAUCUUUCCCUCCAGGGCGCCACCAUGAGCCGCCGCAGGAAGCAAUCCCCAACCUCCGGCGCCGCCGCGACUCAUCUUCUGCGAUGGGCACACGCCGCUCCGCGGCUGCGCACAGCUGUGAAUCCUCGCACUUAGCCGUGAGGGCUCCAUCGCCUACUCAAGUGCCCAUCACAUGCAGGUAGUAUUCCCCUUCNNNNNNNNNNNNNNNNNNNNNNNNNNNNNNNNNNNNNNNNNNNNNNNNNNNNNNNNNNNNNNNNNNNNNNNNNNNNNNNNNNNNNNNNNNNNNNNNNNNNNNNNNNNNNNNNNNNNNNNNNNNNNNNNNNNNNNNNNNNNNNNNNNNNNNNNNNNNNNNNNNNNNNNNNNNNNNNNNNNNNNNNNNNNNNNNNNNNNNNNNNNNNNNNNNNNNNNNNNNNNNNNNNNNNNNNNNNNNNNNNNNNNNNNNNNNNNNNNNNNNNNNNNNNNNNNNNNNNNNNNNNNNNNNNNNNNNNNNNNGAGGAUUCAGCCGUGAACUUGUUUGGAUUUAUAGGAAUGAAUAUUGUUGGAUCUAAAUCUGGUUAAUACUCUGUCAUUUUCCUACUUCAUAAAUUUACUUUGGAAAGUUCAUAUAUUUAGUAGUCUGGACACGGGAAAUUUAAUUGCAAUGUUGAUUCAACUUGGGUUUUCUAUGGCAGCUGGAGUAGAAAAUACAAAUUUGUAGUGUAACAACUAUAGUCUAAUCUGCCGGAUAUUGAUGGGAGCAAUCAGAUUUUUGAUGUCUGUGCAGUUCAUCUACAUGUUAUUGACAAUUUUUAUUCAGACAUCUAAUUCACCUCCACAUAUGCUUGUCUAGUCUGCUACCUUACCCAAAUAGUACUAGUACUGAAAUAUUAACAACAUUUUCAUUCUCACAUAUUGUUAACUCAACCUCUUCUAGGUAUUUUUUCAGGAAAUGCAGUCAAAUUCAUGUACAGAUGCAUCACUUUUGUGAUCCUACUAGUCAAUCUCCGGUAUGAUGCUUGGAACGUUGAUGAUUGGAGUGUUGAUCUAUACAGGAGUUUCGGCAUCUUUCUCAAGGAGCUACGUCGACUAGGAUGAGUGGUGGGUUUGUACGGCGGUUAGGAUUAUAGUGGUGGGUUUGAGUUGGAUUUUCACGGUGAGCUGUUCAGAUUUUGUCACUACUGGUAUGGUUCAUGAUCCUUAUUUGAUCCAUCUAUUCUUGCCUAGACUGCAAUUGUCUCGUUAAACAUGAUACUCUCUGUAGAGCUUCAUUACAUUAUUGACCUCUUUUUCUCGUAAAUGCAUCCGUGUGGUUUCUUUGUUUUCUCAUAAGUCGCAUGCAUAUAAGUAACCAGUUGGCUAGUUUGUUGUAAUAGUUGCACAUGAACGCAAAUGUAGUUGGAUGACACAUAUACAUGUCUCAGUUGGCUAGCCAACUUAUGAAGUUGCACAGUGAAGGCUAACCAGUUGCACAGUCGAUGGUAUUCUUCUGCAGCAGCCGCUGAGGUAACAUAAAAUUCCACCAGGGAUAUUUUUUACUCCACAUAUAGGCAACCAAGUGUAUUAAUUUUCAUACAUAGUUGCAGAAGGACUAAUUAAGCAUUGGCAUGCUGAACUUUCUCAGUUGCUCAACGUUGCAUCUUCAAGUUUUUUAGAAUUGUCCCAAGAGUAUGUAAUGACUUGGCAUCCUCAGACUUUCUAGUUGCAGAAUAGUAUCUAAUUAGUUGGCAACCUCAGUAAUUCUAGUUGCACAACAAUAUACAACUAGUUGACAUCCUCAGCUUCUCUAGUUGCACAAGAACUCAGAUUAGUCCCAUCUAAAAAAAUUGAGGAUUGCCCAACAGUAUCUAACGACUUGGCACCCUCAGGUUUUCUAGUUGCAGAAGAGUAUUUAUUUAGUUGGCACCCUCAGCAAUUCUAGUUGGACAACAGUAUCCAAGUAGUUGACAUCCUCAGCCUCUCUAGUUGCACAAGAAUUCAGAUUAAUCCCAUCUUAAAUUUUUUGAGGGAUUGCCCAACAGUAUCUAGUGACUUGGCACCCUCAAGUUUUCUAGUUGCAGAAGAGUAUCUAUUUAGUUGGCACCCUCUACGAUUCUAGUUGGACAACAUUAUCCAAGUAGUUGACAUCUUCAGCCUCUCUAGUUGCACAAGAAUUCAGAUUAAUCCCAUCUUAAUGUUAGGAUUAAUCUUGAUUAUGUAUCUGCGUUGUAUUUUCGUUUAGCAUGUAGUCUAGUGUAGGUUGAUGUUUGUCCCGUGAAGCUUCAGCUCAGCAUGCAGAGGAGGCGAGAUGUUGGGCUGCCGUGCGAUACGGCGAGCACGGCGAGAUGCCGAUGGCAGCGUGAGGCUGCAGUGCUACGCGAGGCAGCAUGGCCGUGUGAUGCGGCAAGUGCGUGAGAGGCUGGAGCGUGACGGGCUGCAUGAAGAGGUUGAACCGGGCGAUCCGGCAAGUCAUUAUCAGUUGUAUACAUGCUAGUUUGGUUCGGUCUAUGGCCGUUCAUGAGGCUGCCCAAGUACUGGCCGUGCAUGUAGUUCUGCAUGUUGAGGGGGUUAGAUGCAUAGUCGUUAGGAUCCUGCAGAGAUGCCUGGAGUAGGAUAAGGCCAGUUAGUGGGUGUGGUAGUGCAUGCAUGGAUUAGUUUGUUAAUGGCCGAGCAUGGCGGCCUGUUAGUUCGUGCGUGACUUAGUGGCCCGGCCAGGUUGUGCGUGAUGGCCAACAGUCUAUGUAUAUAUAUGUCACACUGAGCAAUGAGAAAAUAGAGGCCGUGAGGGCUCAAGAGAAAAGAUGUAGCACUUGUGGUUGCCAAGAAAGAGUACCUCUCGGCAAAGUUAGUUGUUUUUCUUCCUUGUUAUACAUGCGUGUGUGUGCAGUUUCACCAUGUGUGUGUGUGUUCUUGAGAGAAACCAUAGAAGAGAAGAAGAGAGGAACCCAAAUAGAGUUGUGGGAGGCAGCUCGAGGUAGAAGAAAAGCAGCGCUGCCAGAGGCGGCGCCAACACUUGAAAAAUUUGAGGAUUGCCCAAUAGUAUCUAAUGAUUGGCACCCUCAGGCUUUCUAGUUGCAGAAGAGUAUCUAUUUAGUUGGCACCCUCUGCAAUUCUAGUUGGACAACAUUAUCCAAGUAGUUGACAUCCUCAGCCUCUCUAAUUGCACAAAAAUAUCUCAUUAGUUGACAUCAUCAGCAUUUCUAGUCGCACAAGAAUAUCUCAUUAGUUAUCAUCACAAGUAUUUCUAGUUGCAGAACAAACAGGAUAUCAAGUUACCAUCCUCAACUUUUUAAUCUAGUUUUCCAGAGAACAAAUAUUUGUAUGUAAUGAUAACUAAUCACCUCUACCUUUUUUUUGCAAACCCCAAGAUAUUGUUCAAGGAAAUGAGAGUAAUGAAGCAAAUAAUGUUGAACGACGGUCACAAGCUGGCUACCUGAUGGAGACUGCCUGGUACGCCUCUCUCCUCCCUCUUCUUUACCACUUCCGUUCUUGCGUUCAUUGCUUUGCCAUUAUAGCUCUGUUUUGGAUCCAGGCUAGGACCCUUUCUUUCGUUGAAAAGAAGGAGCCCUGUGGAGAAGGAAGUGUGGGCGAGGGGUGCAUGGAGGCUUCGGGAGUUAGUGGGCUAUCAUGUGAUACCGAUUGGCCUUUGUUUUCUGAUUCUUCAUGGAUUUUAGGGGUCGGAACAAAGUUUCCUUUAUGGAAACAGUGGGGACAAAAAGUUACCUUUUCCGGCCGCUCGCGAGCGCUACCAGGCCAACGGCCGCUAGCCAGACGCAUCCUUAAAAGUAUUCUCAGCACCCUUCCGAGGAAGUAAGACAGGAAUAACUGUAUUUUUACUUGUGAUCUCAUCAUCCACAUCCAUAUUUAUCAGUUCGAAAAAACAAUAAAAAUCAAAUGCUCGUACAAUCUAUCACGGCCGGCACAUUUAGAUCCAGAAAGACAAAGAAAAAAAAAUAGAGGACGGCAUGUGAAUGUAUGUGGCGUUUCCAGGAUAAGCUGGCACAGAGGACGCCACCAAUCAGGAUAUACCACACAUUAGAGAAUCGCAUGUAGCGUCCGAGACUAAUUACCACGAGGAACAAAAAUCAUCCUCAGGAAUUGGUAAUGAAUGCGCACCAAAAAAUGUUGUUUUGGGAGGGAAGAUAUAAUGAAGCAUUUCCUCAGUUCAGGUCUCCAAAUUGAUUCCGCACCACACCACAAAAUAGCACAUCAGAAGAACGGAAGUAUUUAAAUUGAUCAUCAUCGGACAGUUUUCAACGUCAGAAAACAUGAGAUAAACAACAAAAUCAAUUGUUUCAGGGCGGGAACAAGAACAAAAAUAUUUAGUUCGAUCAUCUUCAGACGGUUUUCAACAUCAUAUACAGUCAUCAGGAGCCCAAAACAAGGACAAAAUAACAAAAAAUAAACACAAACGAACAAUAUCAGGUAUAUCGUUGCUUCCCUCUAGGUGAUAAUAUCUCAUCAACACAUGAAUCAGAUCACUUUAUUUUACCAGCACAGGUGAUCACAAGGAUGCAUGAACAACAAUCUGCAAUCCACAAACAGACUAGGAAAGAAAAAUUGAACUGCGGUAUCCUCAGCUCUUCCAUACUCAAGAUUUCCAGUAGUUAAGUAGAAUGGAGAUUGAUUGUUGAACGGUAAGAAGCAAAUGCACCUCCAUCAAGCAAAAGAAUAGUCAAUCAAGAGUGAAGAAAGAGGAUCAAGGAAUAACAGAAGGUCGAAUCAGUAGACCUCAGGGAUUAUGCUUAUGAUUUUCAUCAAGGAAGAAAAGUCAGGUCUCAAAGAUGUGGCAUCACUGGACUCGGGAACUUAACUGAAUAAAAAAGGGCCAACUAAAAGUCAUAAACAUAUAAUGAUAAGCAGGAGCAAUUUUGGAGAAUGUUAUUCGCUGCCCCUCACAAUUAAAAGUAGGGGAAGCGACUCAUCCCCAUAAAGUCUGCCCCUGGAAAAAAUCAAGCCCCACAGAUACAUAAAACAAAAGGAUCAACUAAUAAAGGGGGUCUUCAACAUAAUUUGUCCUCAGAAUUGCAGAAUGACAGCAUGGACGCAUAGCAACCAAUCAGUCCCGAAAGAUGGUAUGAUUUAACAGGUUUUUCAUCACCGGAACCAUAAACAAGGUCUAUAUAAGUCAAACCUAAAUUAUUUUAGGGUUGGAAGUCAGAAUUGCAUAUUUGACAACAUGGCAAACAAGAGCGCACCAAUCAGACUCAACAUCGUGACAAUAAUAAUAAUGACGGAAAUGUUGUAUUCAUAAACAAAAAUGCAAAAAUCUAAGCCUUUCAUUAGUUAAGCAGAUAAGCAACGACACCUAAUUAGGCCAACCUAUGUUAACAGUUCAGUGAACGAAUUACACCAACAAACCUGGCAAUAGACCGGGCACACCCAAAAAAAAAACAGGAUUCAAUUAGCCAACAAACCUGUAAUGCACAUAAAUGCAUAAGAAUAGACGAGCUCUUGCCAACCAUUGAAAUGACUAAAGCCCAUGGCAAAACAAACUCUCAAAGAGUUCAAGAAGGAAUUCAAGAUACAAUAUAUUAAAGGUUCCAGAACAAAGACAUUAUCUAGGGCAAAACAUCAUCCAAGGUAAUCGUCUAAACAAGAACACUCCUUAAGAUUCUGGAAAUGGACCAACACAGUAGUAGAAAAGCUAUGGGGGAUCGUUGUGAAGCAGCUUAUCGCUUCUUGGAGACACCAACAGUCUUUCCUCUCCUGCCGGUAGUCUUGGUGUGCUGACCACGGACACGCACGCCCCAGUAGUGACGCAGACCACGAUGGUUCCUGGAAAAGAGGAGGGUUUCAAGCAUAAGUGAUUACUCACGCAUCUAUGCACUAGGACAAGGCUACUGCAACAGUUUAGUCUAAAGGAAUCAGGCAUCACCAUACAUCUCUUGGAAACAAAGCAUUGCUAUACAGAACUACUGGGUCACAUACAAGGUACACCAGAAGGAUACAGAUGAAUAUGUACAAGUAAUAGACAGGCUAGUCCUAACAGAUUGACCAAACUGAACUUUUGUAACCAAAACUGCUACUUGCCUUUAUAACUUGAGAGCAGGGCUUCUCGUUAAUAAGAGUAAAUACAGACAUAUGACAUUGUAUUUUUGCAGAAAAGAAACAUUAAUUCCGAUCUACACAAGCUAACGCUGGACUAGGUUAGGCCUAUUUCACAGGAUAAACCACUACAGAAUGAAGCAGAUGAAGUCAGCACAUGCUACCAGAAAAACACUAUGCACAUCAAGAACAACAGAAUAAACGCGUUUCAGGCAUUCUAAUGUCCGAAGAUCUGCUUAGAGAAACCCACUAUGCCAAUCCCAAGACUAGACUGUAAAGUACUGGAUGAGAUAUCAACUACUGCAGCUACUAAAGCAUGUGCAAGAUGUUAGUUAACAGCAUCAUAACCAGUUGAACCUAGCGCAUAAUCAUCGAUCAACCA